ACUGAAAGUUCAGAAUGUGGUAAGAUGUCAUUUUCAUCCAUGUUACAUGUAUAAAUCAUUUCCAUCCAUCUUGUUUGUAAUCAAUACGUCUUUAUUUGAUACUUGGAGUAUAGAGAUUUUGGUUGCUGUGAGAAUACCUCUUCAUAAUUGUACCCCACCUCAUACCUAUUGUUUGGCUAAUAUUCUAAUGCCCUAAAGAUGAUGAAUCAAAAUUUCCCUUAGCAGCCCAUUCUUUAGUUAUUCAAGUGACAAUUGGAGCCUCCUAAUUAAUAAUUCUCUAUGUGGAUUUUUCUUAUUAAUAUCGGUAUUUGUGAACUAUAUAACUUAGAAUAAUGUCUUUAUCAGGUUCAUCAAGAAGAAUUGA
rnacentral:misc_RNA from 1 species